CAGAAUGGCAAAUUUUUAGUCAAAUCUAUGUAUGAUACAAUGGUCCAUUCUGAUAUUCCAGUUGAUAACAGAAAUUUAUGGAAACUAAAAAUUCCUCUAAAAGUGAAGAUUUUCCUCUGGUUUCUAAACAAAGGAGUCAUCCUAACUAGAGAUAAUCUGGCACGGCGACGAAACUGGCAUGGGUUCAAGACAUGUGUCUUUUGCCAACAUGACGAGUUUAUCAAAGACUUAUUUUUUGAGUGCAAGUUCACUCGGGCAGUUUGGGCCAUGGUCCAAGUAGCUUCGAAUUUAUACCCAUCAUGUAGUACAUGUAAUAUGUUCGGCAACUGGUUGCGGGUAUUGAUAAACAAUUUUCUGCACAUAUUCUUGUGGGAGCAGCAGCCUUAUGCUGGGCAAUGUGGCUUACCAGGAAUGAUGUGA
rnacentral:rRNA from 1 species